AAAGGUUUGCAAAUCGGUCUUGAAUAUUUGGCUUGUUGUGCCGGUGAUGUGCUCCUGGCCUUAACUGGCCAGAUCGUGCCUCUGAUGUUGUUACUUUGAACAAAUUAUAGUGCUUAAAACAAGUCUAUUCUCUAGAUAGAUUAGUAUGAGAUAACACUAAAAAAAUAUGAUCCUAUUGUGUUGGCCUCAGAAUCUUAGUAAUGAUUAACAAGGAAAGUCAGGGGUAUUCAUAUUUCAUAGUCAGAAUUGAAAUUCUUAAAUUCAUUAAAGACAAAAAAUUGCAAAAGCAUUUUCCAAUGAUGUUUUCAUUAAUAAGAAUGAAAGUUGGGGACUCAAAGACUAUUAGAUAUCAUCCUAGUCUCAACCAUAAAUGGUGCCGACCAUGGAUUAAUGGGUGUUACUUUUAUGACUCCGCUGACACCUUAUGAGAAAUCAAAGUCUUUGGAUU
rnacentral:ncRNA from 1 species